GUGCUGCAUGAGAGAAGGUUAGCACUCUCCUUGACAAGGACAUGUAAAUAUACUAUCGGUUUAAAAAAAAAAAAAGUCACUCUAGAGACUCUUCUUAUUCCUUUUA
rnacentral:ncRNA from 1 species